GACGAACGCUGGCGGCGUGCCUAAUACAUGCAAGUAGAACGCUGAAGGAGGAGCUUGCUUCUCCGGAUGAGUUGCGAACGGGUGAGUAACGCGUAGGUAACCUGCCUGGUAGCGGGGGAUAACUAUUGGAAACGAUAGCUAAUACCGCAUAACAGUAGAUAUCGCAUGAUAUCUGCUUGAAAGGUGCAAUUGCAUCACUACCAGAUGGACCUGCGUUGUAUUAGCUAGUUGGUGAGGUAACGGCUCACCAAGGCGACGAUACAUAGCCGACCUGAGAGGGUGAUCGGCCGCACUGGGACUGAGACACGGCCCAGACUCCUACGGGAGGCAGCAGUAGGGAAUCUUCGGCAAUGGACGGAAGUCUGACCGAGCAACGCCGCGUGAGUGAAGAAGGUUUUCGGAUCGUAAAGCUCUGUUGUAAGAGAAGAACGAGUGUGAGAGUGGAAAGUUCACACUGUGACGGUAUCUUACCAGAAAGGGACGGCUAACUACGUG
rnacentral:rRNA from 1 species